UACGAAGGUCCCAAGCGUUAUCCGGAUUUAUUGGGUUUAAAGGGUGCGUAGGCGGACUAUUAAGUCAGUGGUGAAAGCCCCAAGCUUAACUUGGGAACUGCCAUUGAUACUGAUGGUCUUGAGUACAUUUGAGGUGGGCGGAAUGUGUCAUGUAGCGGUGAAAUGCUUAGAUAUGACACAGAACACCGAUUGCGAAGGCAGCUCACUAAACUGUAAACUGACGCUGAGGCACGGAAAAGCGUGGGGGAGCAAACAGG
rnacentral:rRNA from 1 species